UGGCCACCUCUUCCUAUUGCAAUUUCUGUGCCUCUUGCACGAGAAUCUGUGUGUGUGCAAGUAGUACAUGAUGCUUCUAAAUACGCUCCUCGAGAGUCGAACGGGUCCUUUUGACGCGGACCCAUUCACCGGUUGAUGGUUUGGAGGAAGAGCCAUUUGCUCGCUGCUGAGGCACAUGGCGUUUUCUGAAUUCUAGAUCCGCCUUAUAAUGAAUCCCGUCAACCAGCUCCUAGGCCUUGGAUAAUUGACGCACGAGGCGUUGGCAUUGCUUUUGACGAGCCCUCUUUGACAGAGUCGGCACGCCUUCAGCACUCGACUCCUUGAUUGAGGAGGAGUUCAAAUCUGCAGAUCCGACUUCAUUGGAUGCCGGAGGGGCGUUGCAAGGCGCAACUUCAAUAGCAAUGGGAUGGUGAUCAUCGCCCUGGGUCUUCAGAUCUGAAGACUAGCGGAACUUCCUGUACUUGCGAGGGGAUGAGGAUCUGGAGGAAGAUGACAGGUAUUCCUCGUACUUCUAUUGGUCGAACUCUUACUUGACCUCUGUAUCAACCGAGAUUAGGAUCCUUGGUUGUGACACUACAGCCUCAGCAGAGAGGCUGUUGGCUCCUACUGUGGUCGCCAGCGUCUUUACGUUGAAACGUUGAAAGUUGGUUUCUUUAUUGCAGGACUCAUUACAACUUUAGUCAUUACAAUAAGUUCAAAAUGAAGGACUUUUUAUAAGACUCCUUACACAAUGAAAAUAAAAAAGUUACAACUCUUUUCAAACACACGCAGAGGACGUUUAUCACCCACUGUUUAUGUGUGAUCUUUGCAUGUGUCGGGGUUUAUCCGUAGACCAUGGAUCAGAUCCGGUUGAUCGGAAGGCUAAAUGUCCAUUGCUUCACAAAGGAAACAAGAACAGAAGUAAAUAAUCUCAACCAAGUGAGAUUACUACUCUUCUCGAGAUCAGUACAAAUUCUGAUAUCAAGGAAUAGUAGAACGGACCUCAGAUCUCUCGAAACGCUCCUUCUUUAUGCCAGAGUUCAUCAAAAUCUCGCUAGCCUCUCUGAAAUUUGUGGAUCACUCUUCACAGGGACAACACCUCGCCUAAAUUUCAGAUCCCUGUGUAUAUGACCUUAGGCUUGUAUUUAUAGGCUUCAGUUGUGGUGUUUUUGGAUAAGAACAAGUGAUUUGGUCUCAUCUUCAGUUGAUAACAUCCUAACUAUGUUUAGGGAUGAUAUCCAAGUAGUUGAGAGGCUCUGCAACAAAUAAAUCCCGAGAAAACAUUGAAAUAUGCAUUUUUAGGAACCGGGGUGUGAGUCAGAUCAAUGUGACACACGGGUGUGAGGGUCACAUUAAGGUGACAUGCGGAUGUGAGGGUCACAUUAAGGUGACCCACAGGUGACACACAUGAGUGCGGGUCACUUUGAUGCGAUUUCCAAGCGACUAUGUCUUGUUUUGGCCUUGUUCUGUCGUUUCACGCACGUUUCGACGUUUCUUUGACUUGUAUGCUUUGCUGACUUGUUUUGCUUCUCCACGGUAUCAGAUAAUCCUCUUUUGACUCGAAUAAUGGCGUUCAUCACAUUAUCGUUAUUUUGAGUUGUGUGUGGAAACCUAUAGGCAAUUUUUGAUGUCUACACCGACUUCCAUCUUUUUUUGCCUAUAAAUCCAAACUUUAUCCCCCAUUUACUUUUAAACUGACUUUCUUUGAAAAUCACUUCAAAACCACAAAAUAUUCUAUUGAAUUAAUUUCAAAUCACUUGGUAUUUUAGCAGUUUAAUACACAACAUAAGUUAUUAUAUUUUAUUAGCCUACAUUACAAAACUAGUAUUUUUUAUACACCCCUCUUUUGUCACUUUCAUAUUUUUUCUAGCUUCGGCGAAAUUCUUUUUGGGAGCCAAAUGUGCAAUUAGACCAAAAAAUUCAUAGCGAGCAAAAAAAGCCAUGCACUUUACGUAGUGCUAUUGGUGUUAUCUUAUUCAUAAGGGAAAUGCCAAAAGAUUAUUUGGCACAUUGGUAUAAUGAUAAUAACUAUGUCAAUGCCUAUACAAGAUUAAAUUUUGGCACAAAGAAGGGGAAGACAUGAUAUUACUUCCAAAUAUGGUCAAGAGAAAGUUUGGGAGGCCGAAAUAUGCUAGAGGAGGUUCGCGUCUAUUUUUCUCCAAUGGCGUAGUUAUGGGUCUAAUUGCACAUUUGGAUUAGAAAAAAAUAUCAAUAUGUAUUGCUAAAGCUAGAAAAAUGGCAAACUGAUAAGUGGAGCGUACUUACCAAUCUGGUAAUUUAGCCUAAUGUAUGAUUGAUAAUUUAACCUAUUUUACUAUUAUUUGCUACAAUUUUGUUCUAAGUCCUAAGUGUAUUUUCAAACCAAAUGCGUAAAUUGUUAUUUUUGUCCAUUUUCAGAUCAAGCGGUAUCACAAAUUAUAGAUGAGUUUUCUGCCUAUAAAUCCAAGGUAGUACCCCUAUUUAUUUUAAAAACCCAUCCACUUUCAGAAUUACCCUCAGGUACAAAUACAACACCAAAUUAAUUCUAAAUCCAUUUUAAAACAAUAGUUUUGUAUAAAAAAAUGAUAACUACAUUACUCCUACUCUACUAUAAGGUGGCGUUGUGUACCAUGUAAGAUUAAAUAACCUUUAUCAGGAAAAAGAAAGUUGUCAAAAAUUUAUGUUCUCAAAACAACCUCUUCAUCUCCUAGCUCUUCUUACACUUUCGUUCCUAUUUGACCCCGUUAAACUCAUCUACAAGGAAAGAAGUUAUGCUAAUUUUAAUGAUUUUUUAAUAAAAAGUUUAGCCUUUUCUUUUACAGUGGAUUACUUUGCACAUUUUGAUAGGCAAAGUAAGUAUAGUUGUCAAAAAUAUUACAGUGAUGUUCCUUUUUGGUUAAUAGUUCAAUCUCUUCGUAGAAACUCUUUGUUUAUUAAUCAAAAGAGUAAUAUAAUUGUUUUGUUGUAAUGACCUUCUUAAAAAAAAGAUAUUGUAAUUAGCAUGUCUUCUUCUCUUUUGUUGCUCAUAUCCCACAAAAAAAAAGGAAAAAAAAGAAAUAGAAGAUGAUAAAAACAUCUAGAAAAUUAAAAUUUAGGUAGUUUUUGUCCAAAUAUAAUUGACAAUUGAUAUCAUAUAAUCAGCAUGUCAGAACCACCUCAGCGUAGUGUAGCGUAGUAGUGUAAAAAUUAUCAUUAGCCCGCCAAACAGAAAAAAAAUGAAAAGGGUUAACAAACCCGCACGUGACCCCAAAUUCUCAUUUAUCCCGUCGAUAGACGGCUUAACUAGUCCUCGUAAGAAGGCGGAACAACCUUUAUUUCGGCUUCUCACGCGAGGGUAGACAGCGGAAUUUAGAAAAAAAAAUUCAUCUGAAUCUCGUGCGGGGAGGCAGAGCGGAGUUCGGCAGCGGAAUUAGGGGAAUUAGGCAACGGAAUUUGGAGGGAAAGAAGCAGCGGAAUUAGGGGAAUUAGGAAAAAAAUUUCAAUUUGGAUCUGUUCUCAUUACCACUAGCUUCUUUCGUCACAAGCUCUAGAUUGAACAAGGAGAUUCCUUUCGGUGAUCUUGAUGGAGAUCUGGUUGUAAAUUUUUCUGGUUUUUAGGCAAAAUUUGAUCUAUGUUUUCUCUCUCUAAGUAGAAACAAGAUGGCAGGGAGAAGAGUUUAUGGAGGUUCAGAGAUGAGUGUUUUGUUGCAGAAUGAAGGGAUUUCUUCUGAGGCUUUCCAGACUUUGAUUUUUUCUAGCUCCUCUCAUACUGGUUUCUGUGUUAAUGUGCUCAAUGGAUUAGAGAUGAAUGAGGAUGAAGAUGAGGCGGAUGAGGAAGAAGACCCCCAAUACAUGGUUGGUGCAGAUGAAAGUUUAAGGGGUGAAUAGCUUCGCAACAGGAUUGCUUUACAGUUUUGGAAUAAUUGAAAUAAGUAGUUGUUGAAUAUUAAAGUAUAAGGAGGUUGAAUUAUGUCUUUUAUUAUCUUUUAUGAGCAAAACUUAUAAUUCCAUAUAGAGCUAUUGAGUAGAUAGUUUUUUUC